rnacentral:rRNA from 1 species
GUCGAACGAUGAACCACUUCGGUGGGGAUUAGUGGCGAACGGGUGAGUAACACGUGGGCAAUCUGCCCUGCACUCUGGGACAAGCCCUGGAAACGGGGUCUAAUACCGGAUACGACGCGCUCAGGCAUCUGAUGCGCGUGGAAAGCUCCGGCGGUGCAGGAUGAGCCCGCGGCCUAUCAGCUUGUUGGUGAGGUAACGGCUCACCAAGGCGACGACGGGUAGCCGGCCUGAGAGGGCGACCGGCCACACUGGGACUGAGACACGGCCCAGACUCCUACGGGAGGCAGCAGUGGGGAAUAUUGCACAAUGGGCGAAAGCCUGAUGCAGCGACGCCGCGUGAGGGAUGACGGCCUUCGGGUUGUAAACCUCUUUCAGCAGGGAAGAAGCGAAAGUGACGGUACCUGCAGAAGAAGCGCCGGCUAACUACGUGCCAGCAGCCGCGGUAAUACGUAGGGCGCGAGCGUUGUCCGGAAUUAUUGGGCGUAAAGAGCUCGUAGGCGGCUUGUCGCGUCGGUUGUGAAAGCCCGGGGCUUAACCCCGGGUCUGCAGUCGAUACGGGCAGGCUAGAGUUCGGUAGGGGAGAUCGGAAUUCCUGGUGUAGCGGUGAAAUGCGCAGAUAUCAGGAGGAACACCGGUGGCGAAGGCGGAUCUCUGGGCCGAUACUGACGCUGAGGAGCGAAAGCGUGGGGAGCGAACAGGAUUAGAUACCCUGGUAGUCCACGCCGUAAACGGUGGGCACUAGGUGUGGGCAACAUUCCACGUUGUCCGUGCCGCAGCUAACGCAUUAAGUGCCCCGCCU